rnacentral:rRNA from 1 species
UACGUAGGGGGCGAGCGUUUUCCGGAAUUACUGGGUGUAAAGGGCGUGUAGGCGGGACUGUAAGUCAGAUGUGAAAUUCCCCGGCUCAACUGGGGAGCUGCAUCUGAAACUAUGGUUCUUGAGUGCUGGAGAGGGAAGCGGAAUUCCAAGUGUAGCGGUGAAAUGCGUAGAUAUUUGGAGGAACACCAGUGGCGAAGGCGGCUUUCUGGACAGUAACUGACGCUGAGGCGCGAAAGCGUGGGGAGCAAACAGG